AUUGAACGCUGGCGGCAUGCUUUACACAUGCAAGUCGAACGGUAACAGGCCUUCGGGUGCUGACGAGUGGCGAACGGGGGAGUAAUGCAUCGGAACGUACCCAGAGGUGGGGGAUAACGCAGCGAAAGCUGUGCUAAUACCGCAUGUGAUCUGAGGAUGAAAGCGGGGGACCGAGCAGCAAUGUUUGGCCUCGCGCCUUUGGAGCGGCCGAUGUCGGAUUAGCUAGUUGGUGGGGUAAAGGCCUACCAAGGCGACGAUCCGUAGCUGGUCUGAGAGGACGACCGGCCACACUGGAACUGAGACACGGCCCAGACUCCUACGGGAGGCAGCAGUGGGGAAUUUUGGACAAUGGGCGCAAGCCUGAUCCAGCAAUGCCGCGUGCGGGAAGAAGGCCUUCGGGUUGUAAACCGCUUUUGGCAGGAACGAAACGGUGUCCGCUAAUACCGGGCGCUAAUGACGGUACCUGCAGAAUAAGCACCGGCUAACUACGUG
rnacentral:rRNA from 1 species